rnacentral:lncRNA from 1 species
CUCUGAACUUGAGAUUCCACGCUGUGCUGCUGAGCAACAUCAUCUAGACAUGCAAGAAAAUGGAUAUAUGCGCAUUGGCACACGUUUGGAAUAUGAAAAAAAGUAUGAAGAAAAGGCAACUGUUUGUAUUAAUUAUAUGCUUCAAAAUUAAAGAAUACAAAGGAUAUUCAUCAUGGAGUCUCCUCCCACCUCGCACCCUCAGCAGGCAUUGAGAAGAGCCGGACGAGCAGUUCACAGAGCAACCUGGAUAAAAUUCAGCUAAGUAUAGAGAGAGAACAAGGAACUUCUGAGCCAAGGCAGAUCAAAGGAUGUUUGAGGAUGGUUUAACAUUGGAACACUUCAGAAGUGUGAUGUGAG